rnacentral:rRNA from 1 species
CAGGCUUAACACAUGCAAGUCGAGGGGCAGCAUUUUAGUUUGCUUGCAAACUGAAGAUGGCGACCGGCGCACGGGUGAGUAACACGUAUCCAACCUGCCGAUAACUCCGGGAUAGCCUUUCGAAAGAAAGAUUAAUACCGGAUAGCAUACGAAUAUCGCAUGAUAUUUUUAUUAAAGAAUUUCGGUUAUCGAUGGGGAUGCGUUCCAUUAGUUUGUUGGCGGGGUAACGGCCCACCAAGACUACGAUGGAUAGGGGUUCUGAGAGGAAGGUCCCCCACAUUGGAACUGAGACACGGUCCAAACUCCUACGGGAGGCAGCAGUGAGGAAUAUUGGUCAAUGGGCGCGAGCCUGAACCAGCCAAGUAGCGUGAAGGAUGAAGGCUCUAUGGGUCGUAAACUUCUUUUAUAUGGGAAUAAAGUUUUCCACGUGUGGAAUUUUGUAUGUACCAUAUGAAUAAGGAUCGGCUAACUCCGUGCCAGCAGCCGCGGUAAUACGGAGGAUCCGAGCGUUAUCCGGAUUUAUUGGGUUUAAAGGGAGCGUAGGUGGAUUGUUAAGUCAGUUGUGAAAGUUUGCGGCUCAACCGUAAAAUUGCAGUUGAAACUGGCAGUCUUGAGUACAGUAGAGGUGGGCGGAAUUCGUGGUGUAGCGGUGAAAUGCUUAGAUAUCACGAAGAACUCCGAUUGCGAAGGCAGCUCACUAGACUGUCACUGACACUGAUGCUCGAAAGUGUGGGUAUCAAACAGGAUUAGAUACCCUGGUAGUCCACACAGUAAACGAUGAAUACUCGCUGUUUGCGAUAUACAGUAAGCGGCCAAGCGAAAGCAUUAAGUAUUCCACCUGGGGAGUACGCCGGCAACGGUGAAACUCAAAGGAAUUGACGGGGGCCCGCACAAGCGGAGGAACAUGUGGUUUAAUUCGAUGAUACGCGAGGAACCUUACCCGGGCUUAAAUUGCAACAGAAUAUAUUGGAAACAGUAUAGCCGUAAGGCUGUUGUGAAGGUGCUGCAUGGUUGUCGUCAGCUCGUGCCGUGAGGUGUCGGCUUAAGUGCCAUAACGAGCGCAACCCUUAUCUUUAGUUACUAACAGGUCAUGCUGGGGACUCUAGAGAGACUGCCGUCGUAAGAUGUGAGGAAGGUGGGGAUGACGUCAAAUCAGCACGGCCCUUACGUCCGGGGCUACACACGUGUUACAAUGGGGGGUACAGAAGGCGGCUACCUGGUGACAGGAUGCUAAUCCCAAAAACCCCUCUCAGUUCGGAUCGAAGUCUGCAACCCGACUUCGUGAAGCUGGAUUCGCUAGUAAUCGCGCAUCAGCCAUGGCGCGGUGAAUACGUUCCCGGGCCUUGUACACACCGCCCGUCAAGCCAUGAAAGCCGGGGGUACCUGAAGUACGUAACCGCAAGGAGCGUCCUAGGGUAAAACUGGUAAUUGG